rnacentral:rRNA from 1 species
GAUGAACGCUGGCGGCGUGCCUAACACAUGCAAGUCGAGCGAUUCUCUUCGGAGAAGAGCGGCGGACGGGUGAGUAACGCGUGGGUAACCUGCCCUGUACACACGGAUAACAUACCGAAAGGUAUGCUAAUACGAGAUAAUAUGCUUUUAUCGCAUGGUAGAAGUAUCAAAGCUUUUGCGGUACAGGAUGGACCCGCGUCUGAUUAGCUAGUUGGUAAGGUAACGGCUUACCAAGGCGACGAUCAGUAGCCGACCUGAGAGGGUGAUCGGCCACAUUGGAACUGAGACACGGUCCAAACUCCUACGGGAGGCAGCAGUGGGGAAUAUUGCACAAUGGGCGAAAGCCUGAUGCAGCAACGCCGCGUGAGCGAUGAAGGCCUUCGGUCGUAAAGCUCUGUCCUCAAGGAAGAUAAUGACGGUACUUGAGGAGGAAGCCCCGGCUAACUACGUGCCAGCAGCCGCGGUAAU